UUGAUUGAGUUAAAGUUCGGCGACAGGUUACUAUUCUUUUAAACAAUCAAAGUUGUUAGAAUAAAGGAAAAAGUGAAAAUCUUUUGGCAGACCAGUUUGAUAUAUCUAGAGCCAUUAUGUCAGAUUCAGUUAGUACGGAGUCAAAAAAGGAAUCUGUGAACUUCCUUGAUGAUUCCGAAUCGUCUUCCAACAGCAAGCUUCUCAAGACUCCAACCAUGAGCAUGCGUAAUAGAAGACGUUCUUCUUUUGUGAAACUUACAGCAUCCCAAACAGAAAUGCUUCGUCAUAGGCGUAUGACGAGAGCCGGACUUUCAGAUUUAGCCGAGGAAAAACCAGAUGACAAACCAAAAAUUAAAUUGGAGAAUACUUUCAAAA